UCCCUGCAAUAGCUGCCUUAGCCCAAAAGAUUCAUCCACAUCCCCCGCGAUCCACCUCGAUAAGGACUGUUCCUGGUUCGUUUCCGAUAGCAUGUUCUCCCAGUCUUCCAAACCAAGCCCACAUCUCUCUCCUGUGGAGACAAUCUCUAGUCCGCUCGGGAUUGGCUGCAACUCCGUAGCCCAUUCAUCCUUUCUUUCGUUGCUCACAGGAUUCACCCCUUUUUCUGUGGCCGUGGUGGUUGAAGGGGUGGUGGUGGUGGUGGUAUUGUCAGUGGAGUUUCCCCCGCCGCCGCCGCCGUUAAAGGAGGAUGAGAGAGUUGAAGCCGAUGUAGGUGGGCUGGGACUUCUUCUCAUAUGAAGAACUGAGGUGGGCUCUGGGCUUGCGAAGCUAUUAACUUCGUGCUGUUGUAGUUUCCCUUUCCUAGUAUUUUUCUUAGAACAAAUCGAAGCAAAAGCAGCAAUAUCAAUAUCUAAGCCCCCCUUCCCCUGCAAAUGAAAGGGCAUCCCACUCAUGUAUACAGAGAAACCGAGAAGCCAAGCAGCGCUUUCUUUUUUGAAACUAUUAAAAAUAAAAGGCCAAGAUUUGUGCGAG
rnacentral:misc_RNA from 1 species